UUUUUAUAAAGAGGCGUGGAGAGACAGGCUCGACGAAACGCCGGCAACCCCCAGCACAACUGGAACGGUGCCAAGUCCUGACCAUAUAAAAA
rnacentral:ncRNA from 2 species